rnacentral:rRNA from 1 species
AUUGAACGCUGGCGGCAGGCCUAAUACAUGCAAGUCGAGCGAGCGGCGGACGGGUGAGUAAUGUCUGGGAAACUGCCUGAUGGAGGGGGAUAACUACUGGAAACGGUAGCUAAUACCGCAUAUCAUCGGAUGUGCCCAGACGGGAUUCGCUUGUAGGUGGGGUAACGGCUUACCUCGGCGACGACCCCUAGCUGGUCUGAGAGGAUGACCAGCCAGACUGGAACUGAGACACGGUCCAGACUCCUACGGGAGGCAGCAGUGGGGAAUAUUGCACAAUGGGCGCAAGCCUGAUGCAGCCAUGCCGCGUGUGUGAAGAAGGCCUUCGGGUUGUAAAGCACUUUCAGCGGGGAGGCGUUACCCGCAGAAGAAGCACCGGCUAACUCCGUGCCAGCAGCCGCGGUAAUUC